rnacentral:rRNA from 1 species
GACGAACGCUGGCGGCGUGCUUAACACAUGCAAGUCGAACGGAAAGGCCCUGCUUUUGUGGGGUGCUCGAGUGGCGAACGGGUGAGUAACACGUGAGUAACCUGCCCUUGACUUUGGGAUAACUUCAGGAAACUGGGGCUAAUACCGGAUAGGAGCCCCUGCUGCAUGGUGGGGGUUGGAAAGUUUCGGCGGUUGGGGAUGGACUCGCGGCUUAUGAGCUUGUUGGUGGGGUAGUGGCUUACCAAGGCUUUGACGGGUAGCCGGCCUGAGAGGGUGACCGGCCACAUUGGGACUGAGAUACGGCCCAGACUCCUACGGGAGGCAGCAGUGGGGAGUAUUGCACAAUGGGAGGAAGCCUGAUGCAGCAACGCCGCGUGCGGGAUGACGGCCUUCGGGGUGUAAACCGCUUUCGCCUGUGACGAAGCGUGAGUGACGGUAAUGGGUAAAGAAGCACCGGCUAACUACGUG